UUCUACCUGAUAGUGUCAGAUAGAGGUCAUAUAUGGUUCCUCGCCUUACUGGUGGCAGGCGCUUACUGCGUUGGCUGUUCAGAGCCAUCGCAACGUCCGCUUCCAGCGUUCAGCGGCAAAAAUCGGUAAACGAAAAAUCACGGUUUAACGAAUGCAAAAACCUUCACGUUUUUCAUAUUGAACAAAUCUUUUUGAGGACAUCUUUAGCACAAUCAUUUUUAUAAUAUAUCAUAUGUAACAAGAUGUACCUUGUAAUGACCCCAUGUUUGAGAGAUACAAAAGCUGAUUUUGUACUUGAUAUUCAUGAGAGGCAAUUAAAUAUUAUGAAAUUUGCAACUA